CUAAACCUUGACUCAAAAGCCAGCUUUGAACGAACACACCAAAAACAUGUAUAGAAUGUCCUGAAAAAGUUCCAGAAAAGAUGUUCAUCGUGUGCCUCUGAGAAAGUCUUGGGUGCCACAAUAAUAAUGGUUGAAUGUUACGGAGAACUUUUCAAGGAAUCAGACCACAACAAAAACGACUAAAGGAUUCAGUUCCUUCUUAAGAGAAACAACAACAGCAACAACAAAACC